rnacentral:lncRNA from 1 species
UACGAAGUGGGACAUCUGGUUUUCUGGUUUUAAAGGAUUUCUUUCGUUUAAGCACAUGACAGCUGUUUCAGAGGUUAUACGUCGGUUGGACUUCUUCUAGUCUUACUUUUAGCAUGCCAACAUUUCAUUUUUGUUUCAAAUUGUUGUCUUAUCGGUCAAUGUUUACAAACUCCUGAUGUACAAAAUUCCAUAGAGGAUGUGUAUU